UUCGGAGCAACAUCUGUGCGUGAAGCGGGUCAGGGGAGGAAUCCAGCAGCCCUAAGCGAUUUCAGGUGUGUGCUCUUUUUU
rnacentral:SRP_RNA from 1 species